UUCAAAACGUAGCACCGAGCGCUAGUGGGGUGAUUAAUUGACAGUUCUGUUUCCGGACGAGAAGGUGACGCCACGAAGAGAGCGUAAGGUCAGUUAGUGUUUGAUCGUCGGUGCGAAAAGACGUCAGUUACGUUCACAACUACGUGCUCGGUGAAACGUGACAAAUUAUUGUAGCAAUUAAUUAUAAGACGCUGUUACUAUUAAAAGUUAUAUUUCCUAUCUACCUACUUGGUCCAAAUUCCCACGCCCUAAGAUGGAAACUCACUCUGAUAAGGCGCAAGUGCCUUUAUCAGAAGUGGGAUCGAAUGGGCCUACUGUAAUAGGAAAUAUGGACAGUGGAAUACCGGAGACACCCAUCGAACAACCAGGACCGUCAACAGAAAAAGCGCCAGAGAGCCUCUGGAGUGGAAUGGAAACAUUCAUGACCCGAUUUCUGUCUGCGAGUACCGUCGCCUUACAGAAAGCUACAUCUGCCAACGCGACGGGUUCCGACACGCACCUCAUCAGUUUUAAUCCGGAUGAUGCGAACGCCGAUAUAGAAGCUGCGGGAAGCCUGGACACCUCAGCACCACCUGUCCCGACAAGAAGAAUGGGUCCGAGCAAUCGUCUAGGAAGGAGGUUCACCUCUGCGAACGCAAACUGCCUAGAGCGAAGGAAUCUUAUCUGCCGGCUCCGACACACUAACCGCUUCGUCAGUCAACCAAGACUAUGAGUUGAUUGAACAUGUGGCUGAAACACACCAUAAUUGUUAUCCAGAUCAAGAGAACCCAUAACGCACGAGGCCGUGCGAAAGUCAGGGUUGGCCGUGACGGCGCGUCCCUAACGCCAUCUAUGAUUAUGAUUUUGAAAUAUAAUGUUGGAUCAUUAGUAAUGCUUUUUUAAUUUCAAAACGUAGCACCGAGCGCUAGUGGGGUGAUUAAUUGACAGUUCUGUUUCCGGACGAGAAGGUGACGCCACGAAGAGAGCGUAAGGUCAGUUAGUGUUUGAUCGUCGGUGCGAAAAGACGUCAGUUACGUUCACAACUACGUGCUCGGUGAAACGUGACAAAUUAUUGUAGCAAUUAAUUAUAAGACGCUGUUACUAUUAAAAGUUAUAUUUCCUAUCUACCUACUUGGUCCAAAUUCCCACGCCCUAAGAUGGAAACUCACUCUGAUAA